rnacentral:rRNA from 1 species
GACGAACGCUGGCGGCGUGCUUAACACAUGCAAGUCGAACGGAAAGGCCCUGCUUUUGUGGGGUGCUCGAGUGGCGAACGGGUGAGUAACACGUGAGUAACCUGCCCUUGACUUUGGGAUAACUUCAGGAAACUGGGGCUAAUACCGGAUAGGAGCUCCUGCUGCAUGGUGGGGGUUGGAAAGUUUCGGCGGUUGGGGAUGGACUCGCGGCUUAUCAGCUUGUUGGUGGGGUAGUGGCUUACCAAGGCUUUGACGGGUAGCCGGCCUGAGAGGGUGACCGGCGACAGGGGGCGUGGGGGACGGCCCAGGAGAGGACGGGAGGGGGCGGUGGGGAAGAUGGUGAGAGGGGCGGGCGGCGGAGGGAGCGGGGGCGGGGGGGGGGGGAGGGCCGGCGGGUUGGAGGCCGCUUGGGCCGGUGAGGGGGCGGGGGUGGCGGUAAGGGGAAAAGAGGCACAGGGUAGGAACGUGACAGCAGGGGGGGUAAUAGAGAGAGCAGCCCACGUCUGAUC